rnacentral:rRNA from 1 species
UACGUAGGGUGCAAGCGUUGUCCGGAAUUAUUGGGGCGUAAAGAGCUCGUAGGCGGUUCGUCACGUCGGCUGUGAAAUCCCGAGGCUCAACCUCGGGUCUGCAGUCGAUACGGGCGGACUGGAGUACUGCAGGGGAGACUGGAAUUCCUGGUGUAGCGGUGAAAUGCGCAGAUAUCAGGAGGAACACCGGUGGCGAAGGCGGGUCUCUGGGCAGUAACUGACGCUGGAGGAGCGAAAGCGUGGGGAGCGAACGGG